rnacentral:rRNA from 1 species
UACAGAGGGCGCGAGCGUUGUCCGGAAUCAUUGGGCGUAAAGAGCGUGUAGGCGGCUCGGUAAGUCCGCUGUAAAAGUCAAAGGCUCAACCUUUGAAUGUCAGUGGAUACUGCCGGGCUAGAGUCCGGAAGAGGCGAGUGGAACUCCUGGUGUAGCGGUGGAAUGCGCAGAUAUCAGGAAGAACACCAACGGCGAAGGCAGCUCGCUGGGACGGUACUGACGCUGAGACGCGAAAAGCGUGGGGGAGCGAACAGG